UACAGAGGUCCCGAGCGUUGUUCGGAUUCAUUGGGCGUAAAGGGUGCGUAGGCGGUCUGCUAAGUUUGAUGUGAAAUCCCGGGGCUCAACCCUGGAAUGGCAUUGAAUACUGGCGGACUAGAGUACCGGAGAGGAAACUGGAAUUUACGGUGUGGCAGUGAAAUGCGUAGAGAUCGUAAGGAAGACCAGUGGCGAAGGCGAGUUUCUGGACGGUAACUGACGCUGAGGCACGAAGGCCAGGGGAGCAAACAGG
rnacentral:rRNA from 1 species